rnacentral:rRNA from 1 species
AGCAGCCGCGGUAAUUCCAGCUCCAAUAGCGUAUAUUAAAGUUGUUGCAGUUAAAAAGCUCGUAGUUGAAUUUCGGAAUCUGUCCGUUAGUCGGGCUUCAUUGUCCGUACUGGUGUGAUGGGUUCUUACCUUCUGAAUAACCAGCAUGCCAUUUAUUUGGUGCGCUGGGGAAGCAGGACUAUUACCUUGAAAAAAUUAGAGUGCUCAAAGCAGGCUAGUGCCUGAAUACAUUAGCAUGGAAUAAUAAAAUAGGACGGCAUGGUUCUAUUUUGUUGGUUUCUAGGAUCACCGUAAUGAUUAAUAGGGAUAGUUGGGGGCAUUAGUAUUCAAUUGUCAGAGGUGAAAUUCUUGGAUUUAUUGAAGACUAACUUCUGCGAAAGCAUUUGCCAAGGAUGUUUUCAUUAAUCAAGAACGAAAGUUAGGGGAUCGAAGACGAUCAGAUACCGUCGUAGUCUUAACCAUAAACUAUGCCGACUAGGGAUCGGACGAUGUUAAUUUUUUAAUGACUCG